UACGUAGGGGGCUAGCGUUGUCCGGAAUCAUUGGGCGUAAAGAGCGUGUAGGCGGUCCGGUAAGUCCGCUGUGAAAGUCGGGGGCUCAAUCCUCGAAUGCCGGUGGAUACUGUCGGGCUAGAGUGCGGAAGAGGCGAGUGGAAUUCCUGGUGUAGCGGUGAAAUGCGCAGAUAUCAGGAGGAACACCUAUUGCGAAGGCAGCUCGCUGGGACGUAACUGACGCUGAGACGCGAAAGCGUGGGGAGCAAACAGG
rnacentral:rRNA from 1 species